AGGAUGGAGUUCAGGACAGCCAUGCCUCUUGGUGAGUAAGCGGAGAACCCUGGCAUGAGGCAAGCAGAAAGGAGCCUUCAAACAGGUGGCUUUGCCUGGGAGGGAGAGGUAGAAAACAACGCGUAUAGCAAGGCUACAGGGGUGGUCCCGCAGCACAAGUACCACCCCACGGCGGGCAGCUACCAACUCCACUUUGCCCUGCAGCAGCUUGAACAACAGAAACUUCAGUCCCAGCAGCUUCUGGACCAGAGUCGAGCCCGGCACCAGGCCAUCUUUGGCAGUCACACACUCUCUAACUCCAAUUUAUGGACAAUAAAUAAUGGUGCAGCUUGCAGAAUUUCAAGUGCCACAGGUAGUGGCCAGAAGCCAACCCCUCUGCCCCAGAAAGUGGUGCCGCCUCCAAGUUCUUCCUCGUCGCUGACCCCCAAGCCCCCAGCCAAUCACAAACAAGUCCUCAGAAAGACCACAUCCCAGAGGGCCUCCAAGGGCUCCUCCAUGGAAGGGCAGCUGAACGGACUCCAGGGCAGCCUGAAUGCUGCGGCCUUUGCGCCCAUCACCGGCCCCACAGGAUCUUUGGAAGCUCCCCAAGUUAUUUUCGCCAGAUCCAAACCCUUGCCCACACAAUCUGGAGCUCUUGCUACAGUUAUAGGACAGAGAAAAUCAAAGUCGGUGAAGUCAGGGCCAAUUUAAGAUCCCGCUCACACUAAAAGAUGAACCGCGACUGCCCAGAAGAACCUAUUUGCCACUCCCGCACCUGCGGGGGCGUGACCGAGGCUGAAGCAUCCACCUGCGCUGCGAGGGGUCCACGCAGAUGGUGGGUCCAGGCUGUUCCCCACGAGCAGCUCCUGAACCUGGGAAGCUCGUAUGUGCACAUGUCUCCAUCAUCAGCCCGCAGUGGACAGGUCCUCUAGGGGUCCUCGUCAGAAUGAGGCGGCACAGCCCCCCCCCACCCCCGAUGCCUUUCCACUUGACCUCUGCUCCCUCUCCUCCCCUUUCCCUGGUCCCCUCUCUGGCUUCUACUGAAGAUAAAGUUUGAAGGGCCGACAGCUACCCUGGGGAGUUUCUGGGGGAGGAUCCAGAGUCUGGGUUUUUCUACAGCAAGGUACUCUAGACUGAGCAUUGAAACCCACAAGGAGAAUUGAUGCCCAACAAGGCAGAGAGAAAAGGGACUUUAUUGACCUCUCAGUGAGUGCAAACAGGUUUGAGCACAGGGAAGCAUUUUGUUUGCUUGUGAGGAAUGAAGACUGUCACUUGAGGGAGGGGAGAGAAUGUAUUCCUGAUGUGCCUGGGACUUCUGGUUAGUAGUCUGAGGACCAUCUGAACUGUUGGCCAACUUGGUUGUGAACUGGGUAGGAGACAAUUCCUUCCUGACUCCCCGGUGAUGUGUAGAACUGGGAUAUAAGGUACAUGGGAGACUCCAUGUAUGGAUCAUGUGAGAAAGGAUAAGAGGGCAUGAGGCCAGGACAAGAACUCGGAGACCAGCUAGACUGUGUGGAAUUGCCCUAGGUAGCCGUUAGAAUCGGGUCCUCAGGCUCAUUUCUUACUGCACACCCCAUGUGCUUAUCAGCUGUUAAGACCAGACUCCAGACUCUUUCAUUUAAGCAAGUACUUUUCGUGUCGUUUUUACUGGUACUGGACUUCUCUUGGUAAUAAACGAGACCAAUCAUAUGAUUCCACCCUCCAAAAAUGGUGUCAUUUCCAGUGUCCCUCCCUCCCCCUCCCCCGAAAUAAGUGUGUAUCUUUUCAGACAGACAGACAAUGGCUCAAGUUUCUGUAGUGCCUCUCAAUGACCCGUGGAAUGGAGAGGCUGAACUUCAGACCCCCGCCCAUAUUUGUAUCUGCUGAUAAAGAUAAGAAUAGAGCUCUCGUAUAAAAAGAACAUUUGGAAUCACAGUGUGUUCUGUUUUCUUUGGGAUACUUAGGGAAACAUAACUCAUUGCCUUGGUUCACUAGGAUGAGCCACAGGCCAACAUUCUAGUGACGUCCUGUGAGGUUGGAGAA